rnacentral:tmRNA from 2 species
GGGGCUGACAGGCUUUCGAUUGCGAGCCAAGUCACCAGAGAAGCGUGCCGGGAAGCAACGCCCGUAACAGUGCAACCUUGAUAAGCGCAAACGCUCAUCAGUCCGACUACGCCCUAGCUGCGUAGUUCGGUGGGGUACAACGGUUUACCCGUUCCGUGUACCAAUCCACCGUCGUCAAUACGGGGAACCUUCCACUGGAAGCUCAAGGAAGUGAACUUGGCUUACCAAACCCGUCGGGGGUCAAUCCGUUCUAGCCCGUGGCAGAUCGUGUCGCUAUGCGAGGGGUGAAAUGUAAGAGGCACUACGCACGUAGAAGACUGUGACAAGUCACGUAAGACCCCGGUUCAAUUCCGGGCAGCUCCACGA